UCUAUCUGUCUACCUCUCCCUCCUGC
rnacentral:piRNA from 1 species